CGCAGCUACGUCCAACUAUAUGAGGAUGAGGAUGAGUUAGAAGCAGAGCUGGAUGCUCUGGGAGAUGAGUUACUGCUGGAUGAUGACAGCUCUUACUUAGAUGAAGCCUCGUCUGCACCCUCCAUUCCUGAAGGAAUGCCCAGUGACACUAAAACCAACAAGGAUGGCGUUCUGGUUGAUGAGUUUGGCCUACAGUACCACAGAUCCCUGCCACAUAAGAAUCUGUUCUUUGAUCAGUGUUUUGUUCAAUGGUGGAGGACGUUUUUCUUGUGCUGAUGGUAUUUAACAUGUUGUGUUGUAUUCAUUGCCCAGUCUAGCACGUGGUAUUGUACAUGAGGCGUGAUUUGGUAAUGUAAACAUGUUCGCCUGAUUUCCAUAAUCCACUAGAUUCUGCUGAGAUUACAAUUUUUAGAUAUCCAAUUAAAACUCCUGGCAUAUCUGUUAGUAAUCAGAAUUUUGGAUCACCUACUGUACUUUCCCUUUUAUCUGAACAUACCUUUUUUAUCAAUGCACGUCCAAACAAAAACAAUUUUGAAUGAUGAUCUUGGAGAUAUAAACAGUUUGGGAAAGUCGAGUUAUUGAACUUAUUGAAAUUUAUUUAUUUAUUUAUUUUAACAAAAAAUUACAAAAAUUAAAAAAUCUCACUCUUGAGUGUUGUUACAUAUUGCAUAUAAACUCAUAUUAUUAUUAUUAAUAUUUUAUAUUUGCCAGUUAAUAUUUAUGUCUAUGCUCUUGUGAAGACGAAGUGUGUAUUGCUUCACUCCAAACUGCUGGUUGAAAUGCUGACAGAAUUGUUGUUGACACUAAUCAAGUAUUUCAAGUCUAUCGUUCUGGGUAGCAUUAGCAUGAAUGAAGAACUUGCGUGGAGCAGCCAUGAACUAGUCUGAAAAAUGGUUUUCUUGAUAACAAACAUUAUUAAUGGAUAUAUAUCACAAUUUUGAAAUGCAUCACUGGUGUCUGUAAGAGAUGCAAUAAAUGGUGAUAUUUGAAAAA